GGGAAAGUGGCUCAGUGGUAGAGCGCUUGCCUUGCAUGCCAGAAGCCCUGGGUUCAAUUCCUCAGCACCA
rfam:Dipodomys ordii contig_16921, whole genome shotgun sequence.